rnacentral:rRNA from 1 species
GACGAACGCUGGCGGCGUGCUUAACACAUGCAAGUCGAACGAGAAAGCCCUUCGGGGUAAGUACAGUGGCGAAGGGGUGAGUAACACGUGGGCAACCUGUCCCAGAGAGCGGGACAACCCGGGGAAACCAGGGCCAAUACCGCAUGCUGAGUCACCCUUUAAGUGGAGCCGCCAAAUGGUAACUUCAGCCUCCGCUCUGGGCUGGGCCCGGGCCGGAUUAGCUAGUUGGUUGGGGUAACGGCCCACCAAGGCGACGAUCCGUAGCUGGUCUGAGAGGACGAUCAGCCACACUGGGACUGAGACACGGCCCAGACUCCUACGGGAGGCAGCAGUGGGGAAUCUUGCGCAAUGGGCGAAAGCCUGACGCAGCAACGCCGCGUGGGGGAAGAAGGCCUUCGGGUUGUAAACCUCUUUCAGUAGGGACGAAGCUUCCGGGGUUAAUAGCCUACGGGGUGACGGUACCUACAGAAGAAGCCCCGGCUAACUACGUGCCAGCAGCCGCGGUAA